CUUUAAAGCAAACGCUCAGCAGAACGAACGCUUUAUGUCAGCCUUCCUUUCCAAAGGGAGGAAAGAGCACAACCGCGCAUUUGCAGCAAAACAAGAGCAAAAAAUUCCAAAGAAUUCCCCGAUGUCCCCCAGCCCUGGAACACACAGAGCGCACCGCAGCGGAGCGGAGCAGCGCUCAGUCCGUGGGGCCGGGGGGGCUGCGGCUCAGCCACGGCGCUGGGAAUGUUACUUCACUUCAUUUGCGGCGUGGCCAAAAUUAACCUGAGAAACCUGCUCGGAGCGUGCUGCACAGUUGUGCAUUUUUCACGUGAACAUCCAAGGCAGCUCCCUUUCUCUGGGAUGUGUCAUUUCCUGUGUAGCUGGAAUAAUACAUGAGCAGUAAAGUGUCAAACCACAAAGAAAGCGAUAUAAUUAGCGCUGGUACCCACUACAAACCCGGAUCUCUGAAGAGAGACCAGCGCAGCUUUUCAAACGCCUACCAUUUUGAAAUCAGGAAAAAAAAAAAAAAAUCUAACAGACACAAGAAUCCCUCUUGAAUCCCCCUUGGCCCUUUUGAAUUCACGCCCUGCCUUACAUCAAACGCUUUUUUUGCUGAUUAACUGCACAAUCAGGUCCCUGCAGAUCAGGGGAAGAAUGGAGAAGAGAAAAGCAACCUCUUUUCCAGAGAACAAUACCAUUAUUUCAGCUCCAUUGGACAGGAAUGUGUGAUUUCACAGCCCACUGCCCUUCUCUCCCAUCUCCAAAAACACUGCCAGAGAUCCACAGCUCCAAUCCCCACCCAUUAGUACCCAGACCCAGCGCUUACAGCUCGGGUUCAAUAUCUGUGCGUGGGGGCUAUGCAUACAUGUACAUACAUAUAUGGAGAAAGCACCCAGAUCAGAACCACCUCCCAAGCCCAAGAAUGGGCACAAAGGAAGUUUCGUUUAUUAAGAAAGAAAGAUAGAAAAAGAGAAAGAAAGAAAGAAAGAAAGAAAGAAAGAAAGAAAGAAAGAAGAAAGAAAGAAAGAAAGAAAGAAAGAAAGAAAGAAAGAAAGAAAGAAGGAAAGAAAGAAAGAAAGAAAGAAAAUAUCCUUUUUCUUAGAUAUUGUAAAAUUCUUCUUCCCAUGUCCAUGGGUUGUGUUUUAGUGGGGUUGAGUAUAAAGGUAGUUAACAAAUGAAAGGAAAAAGUAUUUUUAAACUAAAAUCGUUCAACGGUUUAGAGAGAAACACCUUUUUAAACGCUGACUACUUAAUAAAAUGUUAGCAAAGUGGAAAAAACACGGAACUACUUUUUACCUACAAAAGGGUAUCACUUUCUUGAAGCUUGUACAGUUCAUCUGCUGCUAAAUUGGCCUCAUUUGAGCUUUAAAACCAUUUUAUUUAAAAGCAUCUGUUGAAACCAAUUGUUGAAUAGCUGAUUCCACGGGAGGAGCUAUUUAUUUGAGAGGUGAAAACAACUGCACAAACCGAGUUUUUUGCUUAACAAUACAGCAGAAAUCUUUUCAAAACCAGAAACUCACCAAGACACGUCUCUGAUAGAGAGACUGCGCCUCAGCUACUCUCCCGGCCCCUCUACUUGGUUUGUUGUUGUUGUUGUUGUUGUUUUGUUUUGUUUUGUUUUUUCAGGAAAUCCUCCAUUUCACAGUUUGCAAGGAAGAGCCCCCCCGGCAUCCCCCCCACUCCCAGCCCCCGGACCGCCGCAGCCGCUCUCACAUCCCG
ensembl:lncRNA